UGCGUUCUAAACACACUUUCAUGCAAAGGAGCCUGCACAAAAUCGAAGACCCACAAGUGGACAACAACUGUUGUUGAAUUCCCGUGCCCCGUGUGCCGAGGGCCUCAAACGCGGCAUGAGAGACAUCGCGAGCGUUGUUAAGAUUGCAUUCAAUGGGAUUCUAACCGUUCUCCUGUCGCACAAAUUUGUGUUUCUCGAAGGCUGCCCCAGAUACCACCAAGUCCCCGCCACCACGCGGCGCGGAACAAAUCCCUGAAGCCAAAGCCGAAGCCAAAGCCGAAGCCAAAGCCGAAGCCAAAGCCGAAGCCAAAGCCGAAGCCAAGGAGCAGUCGUCCGCGUUCUGUGCAACUUCACCCGGCGAUUCCAGGCAGACGAGCGUUCUCACGAGCAAGUCCAAGCGGCACCACCACUCCCAUUC
rnacentral:lncRNA from 1 species